AUCACUUCUCGGCCUUUUGGCUAAGAUCAAGUGUAGUAUGAAUUCUGUGUUUUUCUUUUUGGACGGUUUCUUUUU
rnacentral:snRNA from 1 species